AACCUAGCACACCUGCGGUGUGUACCUGCGGAAGGAUCAUUAACGAGUUACCACUCUAUAACCCUUUGUGAACAUACCUACAUGUUGCUUCGGCGGUCGGCCCCCCCGGGCCCCCGGCCCCGCUCACGCGGGGCGUCCGCCGGAGGAUAACCAAACUCUGAUUUAACGACGUUUCUUCUGAGUGGCACAAGCAAAUAAUCAAAACUUUCAACAACGGAUCU
rnacentral:misc_RNA from 1 species